UGGGGAAUUUUGGACAAUGGGCGCAAGCCUGAUCCAGCAAUGCCGCGUGCAGGAAGAAGGCCUUCGGGUUGUAAACUGCUUUUGUCAGGGAAGAAAUCUUCUGGGUUAAUACCUCGGGAGGAUGACGGUACCUGAAGAAUAAGCACCGGCUAACUACGUGCCAGCAGCCGCGGUAAUACGUAGGGUGCAAGCGUUAAUCGGAAUUACUGGGCGUAAAGCGUGCGCAGGCGGCUUUGCAAGACAGAGGUGAAAUCCCCGGGCUCAACCUGGGAACUGCCUUUGUGACUGCAAGGCUAGAGUACGGCAGAGGGAGAUGGAAUUCCGCGUGUAGCAGUGAAAUGCGUAGAUAUGCGGAGGAACACCGAUGGCGAAGGCAAUCUCCUGGGCCUGUACUGACGCU
rnacentral:rRNA from 1 species